CCGACUUACACCAACCUGGAUGUGAGAAUAUGGCCAGUACACCUGACAGUAAUGAAAAGGAGCACAUSGAACCGCAGGCCGGACCAGCUGAUGUGUCAGCCCCCCUGCCAUCUCCCACGCACACAAGUGGUAUCAGAUGCCAUUCUGAAAAACCAAGAAAGCAUUUUAAAAUGUCUGGAAAAUAUGUCUGGCACUUUGGAAAAAAUAUCUGAUAGUCUGGCACGCAUAGCUGAUGGGCUGACCAAAUCUCAAAAUAAAAUGUGAAUU